rnacentral:misc_RNA from 1 species
AGGAAAAAAUAAAAUUAUCAUCUUCAGUUUUGACAGACCA